AGGUCCCUCGGGCCCCUGCUGCCCGCGAUCGCCACUGAGCCUCCUGUGCCAGCUGAUGGGCUUCAACCCGCCGCUGCCAGUGCGUCCCUGGUGGGAGCAGGACGGGGUCUUUGGCGCUCGAAUUUGUGCUUGGAGGGGUCUGCGCACCUGGAUCCUAGUACACCUGCUGGCCCCAAGGCCCUCGAGCGGAAGGCGGCGACAGAAAUCAGUUCCCCUCCUGGAGGGCCAAGUGGGGAACACCUUGAGAGCCUGCCGUCGUUCUCCCGCUCUCCCGAGGGUCUCCUAAAAGGUCUGAAUGCCUGGGCGUCAGCAGUCAAGGAGGGCCGCCGGUUGGAGAACCCCGUCCAGCCUGCAGCCUGUGCCAAGAGCUCCUCAGGGUCAUCUUGUGCGUCCCUCUUGCUCGGACCUUGUGGUACUCUGUUCAAUACAGCUCCCAUCACCCCACCUCCACCACCGUUUGGGGGGAGGUGCCCCAGGAGAAGGAGCAGGCUGGGACCCCUGGGCUGCCUGGCUUUCUGGUUGGGUUCCCAUUCAGUUCCCACUUUUAUUUUUCUACUUUACCCGUUUAAUUAUGGAGUUAAACCAGGUGCUGCGGGACUCCCCCUUUGUCAGCCACAUUACAGCACGGAAGGUGACUGUCUCUAGAGUCUGUUACUCUGAAUUCCAUCAAGGAUGGUAAAAACAGGCUUGUUAAAGCUGUUCCUUCUUCCACCGGAGGAAGAGGUUCACCUGGACAAAGACAUGCAGGAGCUGGGGGGGGGUGGGCAUCAAGAGGAGGCCCAACCUUCCACCCCAAGGGGCCUGGAAGCAAGCGAACAUCUGUCUGUGUACAACAAUCAAGUUCUAUUUUUGUAAUUAAAAAUACAUUCAAAGGAAAAAGGAAACAAAAAGAA